rnacentral:tRNA from 1 species
GGAGUGAUAAGCCUAAUUGGUAAGGCGACGGUCUUGAAAACCGUUAGUAAUCAAAGUGAUUUGGUGUCUGGGUUCGAGUCCCAGUCACUCCG